CCCUCCCUGCAUGUGGGUUCAGACUUGCUUCCCUUCAGGCCACAUGGAGCAAAUGCUCCUUCUGUAGAGAUACCAGUCCCCAUAUCCUGUUCAAUGUGUGAACAUAUCGUGAUUAGAGCGUGCUUGCUGGUGUUAGAGUCACGCCAUGGAUUGCCAAAAAUAUGUCCAAUCAAGUGUCAAUCAUGAUAGGAGGCAUACAGAGGGAGGAAAUGGGACUCUGAUUAAAAAUUUCUUUUGUGAGGUAUUGACAGUUGAAAUAAACCACUUGCAGUAAGAGCAAACCUGCUUCUACUUUCUUUCCUCAUCCUACUGUUAAAUUCCACUGCUUUCUUUCCUAAGGUGAUUCAUCAAGGAGAUAUUUACUGCCAAGAAAUCACUGAUUUUGGCUUUGUGUUAGCUACUCUCACUGGCUAAACCCAAACUGUACAGCAAGUAUUGGAAGACAGUUAGAAGAAGGUAUCCUGGUGAAGUUUUAUAUAAAUAGAAUUUCCUUGCCUGUAAGCCAAAACUUACAAGAGCAAAGAGUUGAAUUUCUAUUUCACUGCGAGGACAAAAGAAGAGAAUCGUUAAUGUGGACAUCAACAGAAAAUGAAAACGCAUUUUGCUACUGCUCCCUAAAAGUUCUUUCUGUUAAACAGAAACUUUAGUCCCCACAAUAGUUGGGGAAAAAAUCAUGAUAUUGAAAAUGAUUUGUUCAUAAGCUCUUCUGUUUAAGGAUUGGCAGAGCCGUGCUGAGCACCAUGGCACACGGACUCCUACUGGUGCCAUCCCAGCCCUGGGAGCUAUAGCAUGGUCAGAACAAGUGUUUCUGUUCCUUUUUCUCUUAGAAACUGCAAAAUACAUCAGGCUAGCAGCUGGUGCUGGAUUUUCCCUCACAUAUCCUAUUGGAGGUUAAUCAUUAGGGAGAGGAAGAAAUACGUUGUUUUGUUAGGAUUGGUAGAAACAAAAGGAACGUUAAACGAUGCGAUAAAAUGUUAAGAUUUGCAUUUGGAAGGAAAAUAUGUUAUAUAUUAGUUGUUAAAUGCAGGUUUUAUAAAAAAUAUUAGCCAAGGAGGUGAAACACAAUAUCCUGUUUAGACAUUUUGCUUUCAAUUUUCGUAAUAAAGUUACCAUUUAUUAUGCUUAUGUAACAAUUAAAACUCAUUUACUCUAACAACAA